rnacentral:rRNA from 1 species
GAUGAACGCUGGCGGCGUGCCUAACACAUGCAAGUCGAACGGAGAUUACGGACGGAAGUUUUCGGAUGGAAGCCUGUAAUUCUUAGUGGCGGACGGGUGAGUAACGCGUGGGCAACCUGCCCUAUACAGGGGGAUAGCAGCUGGAAACGGCUGGUAAGACCGCAUAAGUCGGUUAAAUCGCAUGAUUUGAUCGGGAAAUGAGCAAUCAGGUAUAGGAUGGGCCCGCGUCCGAUUAGCCAGUUGGCAGGGUAAAAGCCUACCAAAGCGACGAUCAGUAGCCGGACUGAGAGGUCGGACGGCCACAUUGGGACUGAGACACGGCCCAAACUCCUACGGGAGGCAGCAGUGGGGGAUAUUGCACAAUGGAGGAAACUCUGAUGCAGCGACGCCGCGUGAGUGAAGAAGUAUUUCGGUAUGUAAAGCUCUAUCAGCAGGGAAGAUGAUGACGGUACCUGACUAAGAAGCCCCGGCUAACUACGUG